ACGAGAGGACCGGAGUGAACGAACCACUGGUGUUCCGGUUGUUUCGCCAGAAGCAUUGCCGGGUAGCUACGUUCGGACGGGAUAAACGCUGAAAGCAUCUAAGCGUGAAGCCUCCUUCAAGAUUAGAUCUCUCUGAUGAAAAUCAGUAAGGAACGUUGGAGACUACGACGUUGAUAGGCUGGGUGUGGAAGUACAGCAAUGUAUGAAGCUUACCAGUACUAAUGAUCCGAGAGACUUAA
rnacentral:rRNA from 1 species